rnacentral:piRNA from 1 species
UCUGUAAUGAAAGGACGCUCUAAA